GCCGUGGUUAUAAAAGGAGGAAAGGUUGGAGGCAGGGGGGGUUCGGGGGGGAGAGGAGCAGCGCUGCCUCGGGGGUCUGCAUCUGGAAGCGGCCACCAGUUUCCUGCUGGGAAUCCGGGAAAGAGAACUCGGUGAGAAAUGCGAAUGCUGCAGCUGGAGCGCUGAGAGGGGAGACUGCAGGGAAUGUGUCUGGGCAGCGUGUGAGCCCAGGCCCUCCUCCCUGGAGCAGGGACAGCUGAGGAUGAGCCCCAGGGACUUAGCCAUCAGAGCAGGCCAGGACAAAUCACCAACCUCCUGCCACCUUUGCCAAAAGCUUUGGUGUUUGAGCAGCCCCGGGCAAGAGGCCCCAGCACAGGCUCUGCCCUGGAGGGCUCAGGCCCUGCCCUGCUGUGGAUGCUGGACUUACCUCUGUGGACGCGCGCUGAGCUCUCACUGCAGGAACCUGUCAG